rnacentral:tRNA from 1 species
GCUCGGCUGGCUCAGUUGGUAGAGCAUGCAACUCUUGAUCUCAGGGUCAUGAGUUCGAGCCCCAUGCAUGGUA